CCUACGGGAGGCAGCAGUGGGGAAUAUUGGGCAAUGGGCGCAAGCCUGACCCAGCAACGCCGCGUGAAGGAAGAAGGCUUUCGGGUUGUAAACUUCUUUUCUCAGGGACGCAGCAAGUGACGGUACCUGAGGAAUAAGCUACGGCUAACUACGUGCCAGCAGCUGCGGUAAUCCGUAGGUGGCACGCGUUAUUCGGAUUUACUGGGAGGAAAGGGCGUGUAGGUGGGAAAGCAAGUCAGAUGUGAAAACCACGGGCUCAAACUGUGGCAUGCAUUUGAAACUGGUUUUCUUGAGUACUGGAGAGGCAGACGGAAUUCCUAGUGUAGCGGUGAAAUGCGUAGAUAUUAGGAAGAACACCAGUGGCGAAGGCGGUCUGCUGGACAGCAACUGACGCUGAGGCGCGAAAGCGUGGGGAGCAAACAGGAUUAGAUACCCGAGUAGUC
rnacentral:rRNA from 1 species